rnacentral:rRNA from 1 species
UACGUAGGGUGCGAGCGUUAAUCGGAAUUACUGGGCGUAAAGCGUGCGCAGGCGGUUUGUUAAGACAGAUGUGAAAUCCCCGGGCUUAACCUGGGAACUGCAUUUGUGACUGGCGAGCUAGAGUAUGGCAGAGGGGGGUAGAAUUCCACGUGUAGCAGUGAAAUGCGUAGAGAUGUGGAGGAAUACCGAUGGCGAAGGCAGCCCCCUGGGCCAAUACUGACGCUCAUGCACGAAAGCGUGGG